rfam:Triticum aestivum genome assembly, contig: Triticum_aestivum_CS42_TGACv1_scaffold_273371_3DS
UAUAUACUUCCUUCAUUUUAAAAUUCUUGUCUUAGAUUUGUCUAAAUUCGAAUGUAUCUAAUACUAAAAUAUGACUUGAUACAUUUGUAUUUGGACAAAUCUAAGACAAAAAUUUUGGAACGGAAAGAGUAUAUU